rnacentral:rRNA from 1 species
GACUACAGGGGUAUCUAAGCCCGUUUGCUCCCCUGGCUUUCGCGCCUCAGCGUCAGUUGCUGCCCAGCAAGUCGCCUUCGCCACCGGUGUUCUUCCCAAUAUCUACGCAUUUCACCGCUACACUGGGAAUUCCACUUGCCUCUACAGCACUCCAGUACAUCAGUUUCAACCGCAUGCCCGGGUUAAGCCCAGACAUUUCACAGCUGACUUGAUCUACAGCCUGCGCGCCCUUUACGCCCAGUAAUUCCGGACAACGCUCGUCCCCUACGUAUUACCGCGGCUGCUGGCACGUAGUUAGCCGGGACUUAUUCGCACGGUACCGUCACGUCCUUCUUCCCGUACAAAAGAGGUUUACAACCCGAAGGCCGUCUUCCCUCACGCGGCGUCGCUGGGUCAGGGUUGCCCCCAUUGCCCAAUAUUCCCCACUGCAGCCACCCGUAGG